AUGUCAUUGAGCACGAGCUGUUUGGGGGAAGUUCAGCGCCUGCUUGAGGAGACUGACAUGUCGCCCGCUGACGUUGCAGAGAACCUGAUGCCCAUGUCGAAGAAGAAAAAGAGGGACCCCGACGUGUGCUUGAUAGGCCUCAUCAAGGCGCUCAAGCAGGCCAAGGAGGAAGCGGUGGCGGCCAAGGUGAAGGAGGUAGAGGAUGCUCAAGCGAAGAAAGUCAAGGAGAAAGAGGAGACACAGGUGAAGAAAGCCAAGGAGGAAGACAAAGCACCCGAGGCAGCCAAUGGGGAUAUUAAGCAAGGUGACAAGUGA
rnacentral:rRNA from 1 species